UACAGAGGGUGCAAGCGUUAAUCGGAAUUACUGGGCGUAAAGGGCGCGUAGGCGGAUAAUUAAGUGAGCAGUGAAAUCCCCGGGCUUAACCUGGGCAUGGCGACUUAUACUGGUUAUCUGGAGUAUGGCAGAGGGUAGUGGAAUUUCCGGUGUAGCGGUGAAAUGCGUAGAUAUCGGAAGGAACACCAGUGGCGAAGGCGGCUACCUGGACCAAUACUGACGCUGAGGCGCGAGAGCGUGGGGAGCAAACAGG
rnacentral:rRNA from 1 species